CAUGUCGUUGAAACGUACAGCAGCGACGUCCCAGGGACGUCGUGCCAGUGAGCAAACGAGCAAUCUACUACGUAUCCCCGAUGAAUUUGGAUUACAUCGCCAAUACAUCGUGGCGACUGGAAGAUCAGAAAACGUCGGCAGGAGGUGGGAGAGAAGGCAAUGCAGAGAUGAAGGACAUCAUACCACAAUAAUAGUUGUGUGUAUAAGCCUGAUCAACAAAUGAAAAGAGUCAGAUAAGAGGAAAGAGUUUGAAAACUGAUUUGACGACCACUGCUGAAUUGGCCUGCUAAGAGGAAGAGGCACUAAUGAUUCCAGAAGAGGAAGCCAAAGAAGAAGACCUACACAGACUUUGAAAUGGAUCUCUCAAUUGCCAUGAUGACCAAGAUAUUCAACGGGAAAAUGUGGAAAGCUACCAUAUUCCACAGUCAUUACUUUGCCAAAUCAUCUGUGCAGCACCACUGAGGGACCCUACUUUCCUGAGUACGAAGCCGGCCAUCAAGGAGUUCCCCGACUGGCAACAGACUGGAGCAGAGGCUGUAGCAGGGACAGCAUUUUUUUUUGCUACUGAAAUAAUUUACAUUAUGAUAGAAAGUGGACAAUAUAGUGUGACAAUUAGUUUUUGUUCUCCAACAUGUACACACUGCUGUUGUGAAGCAGUGAUAUACAGCUCACGAGUGUGUAGUCAAAAGAGAGAAAUACUGUAUAUUUCAGCGACUCCUACAGAUUAAGAAAAAUAAUGAAUUUUGUUAAUAAAUAAAU